rnacentral:piRNA from 1 species
CAACAAUUUGUGAUGAUCGAAAUCUGC